rnacentral:rRNA from 1 species
UUUUGCGCAAUGGGGGAAACCCUGACGCAGCAACGCCGCGUGCGGGACGAAGGCCCUCGGGUNGUAAACCGCUUUCAGCAGGGAANNCCNNNANGGUACCUGCAGAAGAAGCUCCGGCUAGCUACGUGCCNNNAGCCGCGGUAAUACGUAGGGGGCGAGCGUUAUCCGGAUGCAUUGGGCGUAAAGCGCGCGUAGGCGGCCGCCUAAGCGGAACCUCUAACCCCGGGGCUCAACCUCGGGCCGGGUUCCGGACUGGGCGGCUCGAGUGCGGUAGAGGAGAGCGGAAUUCCCGGUGUAGCGGUGGAAUGCGCAGAUAUCGGGAAGAACACCGAUGGCGAAGGCAGCUCUCUGGGCCGUCACUGACGCUGAGGCGCGAAAGCUGGGGGAGCGAACAGG